rnacentral:rRNA from 1 species
GACGAACGCUGGCGGCGUGCUUAACACAUGCAAGUCGAACGGAAAGGCCCUGCUUUUGUGGGGUGCUCGAGUGGCGAACGGGUGAGUAACACGUGAGUAACCUGCCCUUGACUUUGGGAUAACUUCAGGAAACUGGGGCUAAUACCGGAUAGGAGCUCCUGCUGCAUGGUGGGGGUUGGAAAGUUUCGGCGGUUGGGGAUGGACUCGCGGCUUAUCAGCUUGUUGGUGGGGUAGUGGCUUACCAAGGCUUUGACGGGUAGCCGGCCUGAGAGGGUGACCGGCCACAUUGGGACUGAGAUACGGCCCAGACUCCUACGGGAGGCAGCAGUGGGGAAUAUUGCACAAUGGGCGGAAGCCUGAUGCAGCAACGCCGCGUGCGGGAUGACGGCCUUCGGGUUGUAAACCGCUUUCGCCUGUGACGAAGCGUGAGUGACGGUAAUGGGUAAAGAAGCACCGGCUAACUACGUGCCAGCAGCCGCGGUGAUACGUAGGGUGCGAGCGUUGUCCGGAUUUAUUGGGCGUAAAGGGCUCGUAGGUGGUUGAUCGCGUCGGAAGUGUAAUCUUGGGGCUUAACCCUGAGCGUGCUUUCGAUACGGGUUGACUUGAGGAAGGUAGGGGAGAAUGGAAUUCCUGGUGGAGCGGUGGAAUGCGCAGAUAUCAGGAGGAACACCAGUGGCGAAGGCGGUUCUCUGGGCCUUUCCUGACGCUGAGGAGCGAAAGCGUGGGGAGCGAACAGGCUUAGAUACCCUGGUAGUCCACGCUGUAAACGGUGGGUACUAGGUGUGGGGUCCAUUCCACGGGUUCCGUGCCGUAGCUAACGCUUUAAGUACCCCGCCUGGGGAGUACGGCCGCAAGGCUAAAACUCAAAGGAAUUGACGGGGCCCCGCACAAGCGGCGGAGCAUGCGGAUUAAUUCGAUGCAACGCGUAGAACCUUACCUGGGUUUGACAUGGAUCGGGAGUGCUCAGAGAUGGGUGUGCCUCUUUUGGGGUCGGUUCACAGGUGGUGCAUGCCUGUCGUCAGCUCGUGUCGUGAGAUGUUGGGUUAAGUCCCGCAACGAGCGCAACCCUUGUUCACUGUUGCCAGCACGUUAUGGUGGGGACUCAGUGGAGACCGCCGGGGUCAACUCGGAGGAAGGUGGGGAUGACGUCAAGUCCUCAUGCCCCUUAUGUCCAGGGCUUCACGCAUGCUACAAUGGCUGGUACAGAGAGUGGCGAGCCUGUGAGGGUGAGCGAAUCUCGGAAAGCCGGUCUCAGUUCGGAUUGGGGUCUGCAACUCGACCUCAUGAAGUCGGAGUCGCUAGUAAUCGCAGAUCAGCAACGCUGCGGUGAGUACGUUCCCGGGGCU